ncrna:unclassified sequences RAGATH-18 RNA
CUUGUGGACUGUUAUAGCAAAUGGGAGUAGAUUUUAUAUCUUAUAAUAUAAAAACAAAACCAGACAGGAUGAAGCAAGAA